UACGGAGGGUGCAAACGUUGCUCGGAAUUAUUGGGCGUAAAGCGCACGUAGGUGGCUCGUUAAGUCGGAUGUGAAAGCCCCAGGCUCAACCUGGGAAGUGCAUACGAAACUGGCGAGCUUGAAUAUCGAAGAGGGUCGCGGAAUUCCCGGUGUAGAGGUGAAAUUCGUAGAUAUCGGGAGGAACACCAGUGGCGAAGGCGGCGACCUGGGCGAAUAUUGACACUGAGGUGCGAAAAGCGUGGGGAGCAAAACAGG
rnacentral:rRNA from 1 species